CUCACUUGAUGUACUGUAUUCAGUUCUGGGCACCACAUUUUAAGAAGGAUGUUGAUAAGAAGAAGAGUGUCCAGAGAAGACCAUCUGGGAUGAGGAAGGGUAUUGAGUGUAAGCCAUCUGAGGAUGGGUUGAAGAAACUGACCAUGGUUACAGAAACUCAGGAUUUGAAGAAUUAUCAUAUGGAGGAUGACCAGGAACAGUGGAUGAAAGCAACAAUAAGAGGGCCUCAUCAUAUGCUUGCUCUGAAUAGCUGAAGCAGCAAAGUUGGUGGGGAGGUCCCCAGACUUUCCUCUGUGAGGAAGGAGGGGGAAAAGAACAAAAUUCUCUAUCUCCCACAUCCACUGCAGAAAGGGUUUCCCCCUCCUCAGACCCACGUUUGGAGAAUCAGAGUCUGGAGGCAGGAAUGAAGAGUGACGUUUCCUAAGCCAUUUCCAGGAGAGCCUCGUUUGGUAUUUGGCAUUUAGCUGCUUUCCAAACACAAAUUCCUCAAAGUCUGAACUGAAUAGGGGAGAUAACUGAAGGCUGGGGAAUGCUCUGAAGACAGCCUGGUUGCAUUUCCAGCCACAGAAGGCUAAUCACACGGAGACUGAGCCCUGUGAUGUGGGAUCAAAUGGGAGGUAUUCUCCACCACUAGCAGUUUUGCAAGUAAUGAAACCCUCUGCUAUGGAAUUGGACUCCAGCUGGAGCAAGUAUGAUUUUCCCCGAUGUGGGCAACAGGUUGGCAGGUGCCAUCCAGCAUACCAGAUAGUCUAGGAUUGUAGGGACAGGAACCACCCUAUAGCAUGAUGAGUUCUAGAUUUGGGAUAAGUCACUGGGGUUCACCCAGAAAUGAGAAGGAAUAUCAUUCUCAUCUAAAGAUCAUUUUAAAAAAAAGAUUUUGUCCCAGCCCUACUUAUUCUUCUGGAGUGAAGGUGUACUGUUGGAGGGAUGCCUUUCCCCAGAGGUGUUCUAAUGGAGAGGGGAAAUGAACCCUGACUUCACAUCCUAGACAUCACCCUGAGUGAUUCCUAGGCUACUAAGGAAUUCCAGGUUCAGAAGAUAGAAGGUCUGUUAUUUCUACCCCUGGGAAAAUGACGAUAGCCCUGACCUGGAUGAGUUAAGGCUUUAAAAAUCCCUUUUUGGGGUAGGAAGAGAGGAAAUAUAGUUCAGGAUCAUUACAGGGAUGUCUUCAUGCUCUACCAAGGCUUUUUUAUGUAAAGCAAGAGCCUUUUAAUUGAUAAUUUUCCUUCCCUGGACACCUAUAAAAGAGAUUAAGUUAUGCACUCUAGAUAUAGCUGUUAACAUGCUUAAGACCACCCAUAGGCUGCCUGUACAUGUGAUUGACAUAUGAAACAUUUUCUUCAUAUAAUUUAAUCCAUUCUUUGUGAAUAGAGAAAAAGAAUUAUUAAUGGUAUGUAUUUUCUCAGAUUUAAUAUAGAGGGAUCUGUUACUCCCAUGUGAAAAGAUUACUAAACUAUAGGAAAUAAAGUGCCUACCUGCAGAUACUAGAUGUGAAUGAGUCCUACUAAUAGCUAACAGUCCUUUUUAUGCCAUAACAGCCAUCAUAUUUUUGCAAGAUCAUACUAAAGAGGGGCAGAGGGAAAAGAGAAUAUAAUAUUUGAGUUCUCCUUGAUUAUAAAUUGCUGUAAAUAAUGGCAGUGUGAUGUAAUAUGGGAAAAGAGUAGAACUUGAGAAUCUGGGGAGAUGUGGGUCCAAAUCCUGGCUCUGACACAUACUGGCUGAAUGACCCAGGGCCAGUCACUUACCCCCUCUCUAAAACUAUAAACUGCAAAACAGUUAAUGAUUUGCAUUGGUAGAGGUAGUUUCCUGACCAGGAGGUCCCUACAACAGUAAAAUAAUAGAUCUGGAGGAAAAAAUGAAAACAACAUAAUGUUCCCCCUCAUAAUCUUGGUCUCACUCUUCCACACAUUUAAUAAAAAGAGUAGAUAAAGAGUAGAUUUUCAAAAGCAUCAUGCAUGCAGCAUCUACACCUGAGGAACACAUGGAGGUAUAGGGCAUCUACCUUACCCAGCAAGUCACCACUUUAUGGAUGCUGCUGUAAAAGACAAUAAUGCAAAUUCUUCCUUUCUUAGAGGCCAAGUUUUUUGGACUUCGUUUUUUUGGUCAUUUUCCAGUGAAAAACACUAACCUCCCUCACAAAGAGAAACAAAGACAAAGGGAAUGUGUACACCCAGGGCAUACUCAUGGAAGGGUAACUCAUUCUUUAAUACUGCAAAACUGCCAAUAAAAAAAACUUUUAAUUUAAGUUUUAUAGAUGUUUUGGUUUUACAUUAGAAAUAUUUGCCGAUUGCUCCCACUUCAUGAGAGAUCUCUUACUACAAAAUAAGAGUAGAGCAAAACUAAUGAGAUACAAUGACUUCAUCUGAAAGUGCAGACAACAUUUCACAUCUGUAGCACACCCUUCCAUCUCUCUAAUUUGAAAAAAAU